rnacentral:rRNA from 1 species
AGUGAACGCUGGCGGUAGGCCUAACACAUGCAAGUCGAACGGCAGCACAGUAAGAGCUUGCUCUUACGGGUGGCGAGUGGCGGACGGGUGAGGAAUACAUCGGAAUCUACUUUUUCGUGGGGGAUAACGUAGGGAAACUUACGCUAAUACCGCAUACGACCUACGGCUGAAAGCAGGGGAUCUUCGGACCUUGCGCGUUUGAAUGAGCCGAUGUCGGAUUAGCUAGUUGGCGGGGUAAAGGCCCACCAAGGCGACGAUCCGUAGCUGGUCUGAGAGGAUGAUCAGCCACACUGGAACUGAGACACGGUCCAGACUCCUACGGGAGGCAGCAGUGGGGAAUAUUGGACAAUGGGCGCAAGCCUGAUCCAGCCAUACCGCGUGGGUGAAGAAGGCCUUCGGGUUGUAAAGCCCUUUUGUUGGGAAAGAAAAGCAGCAGGUUAAUACCCCGCUGUUCUGACGGUACCCAAAGAAUAAGCACCGGCUAACUUCGUG